CGGAAGGGGGCGAGCGUUGUUCGGAAUCACUGGGCGUAAAGAGUGCGUAGGCGGUUAUGAAAGUUAGGAGUGAAAGCCCAGGGCUUAACCUUGGAAUUGCUUUUAAUACUACAUAACUCGAAUUCGGGAGAGGAUAGCGGAAUUGUCAGUGUAGCAGUGAAAUGCGUAGAUAUUGACAGGAACACCAGUGGCGUAAGCGGCUAUCUGGACCGACAUUGACGCUGAGGCACGAAAGCGUGGGGAUCAAACAGGAUUAGAUACCCUGGUAGUCCACGCCGUAAACGAUGUGUGUUUGUCGCUGGGGAGUUUACUCUUCGGUGACGGAGCUAACGCGUUAAGCACACCGCCUGGGAAGUACGGUCGCAAGAUUA
rnacentral:rRNA from 1 species